GCACCGGCUAACUCUGUGCCAGCAGCCGCGGUAAUACAGAGGGUGCGAGCGUUAAUCGGAAUUACUGGGCGUAAAGCGAGUGUAGGUGGCUAAUUAAGUCACAUGUGAAAUCCCUGGGCUUAACCUAGGAACUGCAUGUGAUACUGGUUAGCUAGAGUAUGUGAGAGGAAAGUAGAAUUCCAGGUGUAGCGGUGAAAUGCGUAGAGAUCUGGAGGAAUACCGAUGGCGAAGGCAGCUUUCUGGCAUAAUACUGACACUGAGACUCGAAAGCGUGGGUAGCAAACAGGAUUAGAUACCCUGGUAGUCCACGCCGUAAACGAUGUCUACUAGCCGUUGGGGCCCUUGAGGCUUUAGUGGCGCAGUUAACGCGAUAAGUAGACCGCCUGGGGAGUACGGCCGCA
rnacentral:rRNA from 1 species